UGCUAUUAACACUGCUGGUGAUACAC
rnacentral:piRNA from 1 species